GCCAAUAUUGGGAAGGGCACAGUUGUUUCCUGAGAGCUCAUGACUUUUAUUCUUUUUGUCAUGAAGAUAAAGUUCCUGAGGAAGAAGGGAUGAACAAGUAUUGUAUUUUCAGCUCAGAGUAAACUCCUUCAGGCUUUGGAUCCCUAUAGUGCUGUUUGUGUCUGACACUGAUAUCUGGGAUAGAGAAGUGCUUCUAGUUGAGAUUUCAUCAUCUCAGUCUUUCAGUAGUAUGACUCUACCAUUUCCUUACAGUGACCCUUUACAUUUCUGAGUCAAUAGGUGAGAUAAGCUAGCAGUUUCUUUUAUUUUGUUUCUUCCAUUUUUUUCAUUUUUUAGCAAAUUUUAUUGCUUAUUUAAUUGGAUAUUUCUAUAUUAACAUUUCAAAUGUUAUUUUCUUUCACAGUUUCCUGUCAAUAAGACCCCUAACUGGUCCCACUACCCUUCUUCUAUAACCUCCCUUACUGCACCUUGACAUUCUUUGAACUGGGAGUCAAACCUGGGAAGGACAAAGUUCUUCUCCUUCCAUUGGUGCACAAUAGGGCCAUCCUCUGUAACAUAUGAUAUUGGAGCCAUAGUUCUGUCCAUGCACAGAAUAUUGGAUUAGUACCAGAAAUCUCUGUUUCUUUGGAAUUGCUUUUAGUAUGGAGUUGAAAGCUCCUUCAAUUUCUUUGGAGCGAUGUCCUUGCCGUCCUCCAAUGUUUAUGUUAUUAUUAUGGUUAGAAUUAAGUAUGACUAUUUUCAUGGAAAAUCCCCACCCAGCUGCAGAAUACUAAUACACAUCAGGUGGUCAAGAAAAAUAAUAAUAUUUCAAAGUUGUCCUGCUGACUAAUAAUAUGACAUACCUGUGACAUUUCUGAUAUUAUGUCAACAUCAGCUGACUCCCUGACCACACCAAUACUGUAUCUUUGGCCUGAGUAAAUGUUUCUUACUUCUCGCCUCCCUCUGUUACCCCUGUUAUGGUAUAAAUUCAUCCUUGGAGGAAAAUAAAAUUUUUGCCUUGAUCAGACUCCUAUCUUAACGUCCUUCUUUGCGACCCUUGUCCCCAAUUCUAUUCCUGGCACCCUCAGACCUCUCACUUACAAAUGGCUACCAAUGUGCAGCUCUUUGAAGAUGUUCUUGAGGAGAACGUCUAUCACUGUGAAUAGGCUGGUCUGUCUUUUUGUUUGUGGAAGCCUUCGUUCCCCCUUGGAGCUUUUGCUCCCACCCCCGUCCCAUCCCAGAGCUUUUGCUGAGUGAUGGAACAAGCAUUCUACAGUCAUCUUUUGUGACAUGUCUCAGGGAGUCACUCAGGACACAAAUAGGGUUAAAAUUUAAAAAAAAAAUCUUAGAUUUUGUAAAAAUAUUUGUCCAUUGUUCCCCCAUGAGGGAACAACUGAUUCAAAAGAUAGUACAGAGUUAGUGAUUGUUUAAUGGAUGGGCUAACCCUUUUACUGAAGUCUACCCCCUGUAAUGAAUAAAAGUUGUGUGGUUUAUGGGUACAAGGUUGGCUCUCCUUGUAUGGAUGAGCAACCUCACAUAUGUGGAUUUAAAACCUUAUACCCUCAUGCUACUUCAGUGGUCACUUUGUCAAUCUGUGCUCCGUGAUUGUGCUCCAGAAGUGGUCCACUAUGGGGUCUUACAACAUUUUGGUCCAUCACAGGGAACUCUGUUCCCUCCAGACCACAAUUGGCGAAGAGAUCAGAGAUUUUUAGGUGCUGAGGACAAAGAGAAGACACACAGAAGGACUGAGACAGAGGGUCUGAACUGGAAGGACAGAGACAGAUGGACAGAGCAGGAGAGGGGAUGACCUGAAAAGACCAGUUUGAGAUAAGGAGAACAAAGAUGUUGAUGGCUCCAAGCUUCUCCCUAGCCUGUCAAGCAAAAAGCAUAAGGACAAAAUGGAAAAGGCUCCAGCAAGUAAUCUUCUACUUUAUCUCCUGCUGUUUCAGAAUGAGGUGGAAACUUUCUCCAGUGCCCAUGUGUUGAAGACUCUUCCCCAUCUUUUCUUCUAUUAGUGUAGUGCCCACCUCGACCAGCAAGGAAGACACAUCACCGUUGGAUUCUUCUCAACAGCCUUUAUUUCAGGAAAACCUCAUUCUUGAUGAGGGGGGCCCCGAGGGAAAAAAGGCACUCCCCCUAAAUACAAGAAAGGCUGUGGUUGUAAA